GCUGGCGGCGUGCUUACACAUGCAUGUCGAACGCGAAAUUUUUCUUCGGAAAAAGAGUAGAGUGGCGCACGGGUGAGUAACGCGUAAGUAAUCUACCCUGAUAUUCGGGAUAACACAUCGAAAGGUGUGCUAAUACCGAAUACGCUGAUUUAUCAGGAAAGGUGGCCUCUUCAUGAAAGCUACUGUAUCAGGAGGAGCUUGCGUACCAUUAGCUUGUUGGUGGGGUAAUGGCCUACCAAGGCAACGAUGGUUAGCGGGUCUGAGAGGAUGAUCCGCCACACUGGAACUGAAACACGGACCAGACUCCUACGGGAGGCAGCAGUGAGGAAUAUUGCGCAAUGGGGGAAACCCUGACGCAGCGACGCCGCGUGGAUGAUGAAGGCUUUCGGGUCGUAAAAUCCUGUCAGAUGGAAAGAAAUGCUAUAUGCCUAAUAUGUGUAUAGUUUGACGGUACCAUCAAAGGAAGCACCGGCUAACUCCGUGCCAGCAGCCGCGGUAAUACGGAGGGUGCAAGCGUUGUUCGGAAUUACUGGGCGUAAAGCGCGCGUAGGCGGCUCUUUAGGUCAGAUGUGAAAGUCCACGGCUCAACCGUGGAAGUGCAUUUGAUACUGGGGGGCUUGAGUACUGGAGGGGAUGGUGGAAUUCCCGGUGUAGAGGUGAAA
rnacentral:rRNA from 1 species